CAUGCCUAACACAUGCAAGUCGAACGCGAAAGCACCUUCGGGUGUUAGUAGAGUGGCGGACGGGUGAGUAAUGCUUGGGAAUCUGCCUAGUAGUGGGGGAUAACUCGAGGAAACUCGAGCUAAUACCGCAUACGCCCUACGGGGGAAAGUUUUAUCGCUAUUAGACGACCCCAAGUAAGAUUAGCUAGGUGGGGGGGUAAUGGCCUACCAAGGCGACGAUCUGUAGCUGGUCUGAGAGGACGAACAGCCACGCUGGGACUGAGACACGGCCCAGACUCCUACGGGAGGCAGUGGUGGGGAAUAUUGGACGGUGGGCAAAAGCCUGAUCCAUCAAUGCCGCGUGUGUGAAGAACGCCUGCGGGUUGAAAAGCUCUUUCAGUUGGGAAUAUUAUGACCUUACCAACAGAACAAGCGCCGGCUAACUCCGUGGCAGCCGCCGCGGUAAUACGGAGGGUGCACUUGUUAAUCGUAAUUAGUGGGCAAAAAGCGCGCGUAGGCGGGUUGGUCAGUCAGAUGUGAUAUCCCCGGGCUUAACCUGGGAACUGCUUUUGAUACCGCCGAGCUCGAGUAUGGUAGAGGGAAGUGUACUUCCGGGUGUAGCGGUGAAGUGCGAAGAUGUCUGGAGGAACAGCUGUGGCGAAGGCUACUUCCUGGACCAAUACUGACGCUGAGGUGCGAAAGCGUGUGUAGCAAACAUGAUUAGAUACCCUGGUACGCCACGCCGUAGAUGAUGUCAACUAGCCGUCAGACUUAUAUAAGAGUGUGGUGACACAACUAACGCCUAUAGUUGACCGCCUGCGGAGUGCGCAGCGUUGAUAACUCUCAGAGGUUUUGACGG
rnacentral:rRNA from 1 species